GUUUUUGAUCAUUUGCUGAAUUUAGGAUAAUACAUUUCUGAAAGUUAAAUUUCUUUUGUUUGCUGUUUAGCCUUUGUUAAAAACAUUUUUCUUUCCAUGUAUAAGUGCAAUCAACUGAGACUUGUCAGUUUUCUGUCCACUAUUUCAAAAAUCAUUCUAAAAAGAAGCAGUGUAUUAGAUCUGGGUCUUCUUAUGACUAGAUGACUAUUUUUGUCUUUUUUUUUUUUUUUUUUUGGUACCACAGUUGAACUCGGGUCCUUACACUUGCCAGGCAGGCAGCAGAACCACUGAGCUAAAUCCCCGGCUAGAUGAUUAUUUUUAAAGCAUAAAACUAUUUUUUAAAUGUACAAAUAAUUAAAAUUAUUAUCUAAUGUACUCUUUUAGGUUAAUUUCUCUUCCUUAUUUCUAUUUUUAUAUUUUCAAGCUCUCAAAUGUUUCUGCUUAUUUGACCUAGAUUUGUGGGGAUUUGGUAUUAUACAUGGUACUUAAACAUCACCAUUCAAUUAUUACUACAGAAUAUCUUUCAUUACAUUAUAUAUAAAUAUAAAUCACUUCUUGAGUAAUACCUGAGUUGUAGAAGCAAGUUGGGGAAUCAAAAACUGUCUUUGAAAUUAGAUUUUUAUUUCCAUAAGAUAAAAUUUAGGUUUUCUACUUAGUUUCCAGAGAUUAGCAGAGAAGAUCCAGGGGGCUCAUAUCACUAGAGGUAGUAAUGCUAUUUGUCUCAUUUCUGGGGGGUUAUUUUUGUUUUGGUUUUUGGUUUUUGGUUUUUUUGAGAGAGGGUCUCACUAUGUGGUUCAUUCAGACUGGCCUUGAACUCACUAUAUUAGCCCAGGCUGGUCUCAAACUCACAGUGAUCCUCCUAUCUCAGCCUCCAAAGUGCUGGGAUCACAGGUGUGUUCUACCACAUUUGGCUCCAUUUCUGUUUUAAGCUAGUCAGUAAAAUAAUUUUAAUGGGUUUCAUUUGGAUCCUUCAAGGUUACAGUGGUUAAUGACGUUCAGUGUGCCCAUGACCCACCAUCCGCACAGUUGUGGCCCAGUUGAAGUGCUAGCUGCUAAGUUGGCUUUGAUUCUUUACACAGCUUUUGUUUGUUUUAUACUUUUAUCUGUGAAAGACAGGAAACAGCAUGUGAUGUAGAAGUGUACACCUAUAGUUACAGCACUAGGGAGGCUGAGGCAGGAGGAUUGCUAUGUGUUUGAGGCCAGCCUGGGCUACCUAGUGAGUUCAAGGCCAGCCUGGAACACAUAGUGAGACCCUGUCUCAAAAAAACAAAACAAAAAGACAAUAUUGAUAGAUGAGUAUUGAUACAAAAUGAGUAUUCAUAGAAUAUAACAAAAAAAUGAGACUAGUCCAGCAAGGUGAUCUUCACUAGGACUGUUGUGCUGAGCAAAAUUUUUGAACCCUAGUGAAUUUUGCUUUUGUGUACUUAAAAAAUUAAUAGACUUUGCCAGGAUUGAUGUCGGGCUUCUUGGCAUUUCUCUUCUCCCUACAUUUACUUUUGCAUUUGUUCAUAUAGAAGUUGAAUGUGCCUUACUCAAAUUAGUUUUCUGGUUAUUAUAAAAAAUAAAUCUCCUUAAUUUUUCUCAGCUGACUGAUUCUUGAUUAAAGUUUCCAAAAUAGUUUAUUGAAAUGAGAUGUGGUUAUUAAUGUGGGAAAGGACACUCCAAUCAUUUGGCAAGUAGCUGAGGAGCUAAAGAAUCCUGUGAUGGGCAGGUAGCGUUUGUUUCCAUUAGUGAAAGAGGUACAGUGCAGACACUGCCUACAGUCUACUGCAGUUGUCACAUAGCAUUCUUUGCUAUUCCAACUCAAUGAAGCUUUCAUGAAGUAAGGGAGAAAGAAUGAAGUAAUAAGUACAGCCCUGGGAGUUGCUCCAACCCAGGGUUUCUCCAGACUGAUUGGGAAGGUAUUUAAGUGUGGGCAUAUGCCUGAAGGGGGAAGGUGGGUGCGUGUUAAGAAUUUCAGUCUCAGAAUGUUGCCCAGUGAGGAUUAGAGAGCUGAAGCAUGUGAAUACCUUAUCUCAGCCCUUCACCGCCCCUCUUCAAGCAUUUUCCCCUACUGUCUGUACUCAACUAAAACCAAAGGAUUUAUUAAACUUUUUACAAUCAUUUCCUGUCAAGUAUGAAUAGAAUCCUGAAAGUCUGCAAGAUUUAUUCUUGUAGUUGAGAAAAACAGUAACUCUCAGGGGUUAGCAUAUCUUAAAUUAUGAGCUUUAAGUGAACUGGGCUAAAGUCAAGUGAUAAGAUGAGCCGGAGGGCGAAGAACAGAAUUUCCUAAUACAGCAGCAACAUGAUUUUCUUAUGGCAUAACACCACUUGAAGAUGUUAACAGUCUUCUCUAAAUGCACCAAAACAGACAAGCCUCAGUACUAUAAAAACAGAUUAUUAAGGAAAGGACGGGCUAUGAAAUAUUUAGUUACUCUAAGUAAAUUGUGAUUUUAAACAGGUUGUAAUAGAAAUGAUGUCAAAUCUGAAGUUACAGUAUGGAUCAUCAAAUGUUUGUGUAGAAGCAGCAGCAUCAAAUUAAACUAAGGAAAUAUCUUGGCUCCUGGACCAAGAUAUUAGCUACUUUUAAAAAAGGAAAAAUGUAAGCAGAUAUCGUGCUCUUAGCAGCAUCAUUCGUAACAGUUACAAUGGAGAAACAACCCAAGUGUCCAUCCACAGAUUAAUGGAUAAGCAAAAUAUGGUAUAGUAUAUGCUAUAUAUAAUGGAAUAUUCAGCCUUAAAAAGGAAAUUUUGACAUAUGCUACAACAUGGUGAAUAUUGAGAACAUACUAAGCCAGCCACAAAAAAUGAUUACACUUGUGUGAAGUACUUAACAUAGUCAAAGCCAUAGAGAGAGAACGUAGAGUGGUGGUUGCUAUGGGCUGGAGGAGGAAAGAAUGAGGCAAUAUUGUUUACAGGAGGUACAGAGAUUCAGUUUUACAAGAUGAAAAGAGUUCUGGAGAUAGGUGGUGACAGUGGUUACACAACAUGAAUGUACUGAAUUCCUCUGAAAUGUAUACUUAGCAAUAAAAAUUUUAAUGAUUAAGAUGGUAAGUUUUGUGUAUAUUUACAACAAUAACAAGAAGAAUUGAGGAUUAGGGAAAUCCCAGACCCAGACUCAUGAAAGGGAGAAAGGCAUCCUCCUUUUUGUAGUAGAAUUUAGCUUUUCCAAACUGUGCGCAACGCAUUGUGCUGAGUGCUGGACCAACGCAGUGACAGCGGCAUCCUUGGAGAAACA
ensembl:lncRNA